UCGAGAAUUUUUCUCAAUGGGGGAAACCCUGAAGGAGCGACGCCGCGUGGAGGAUGAAGGUCUUCGGAUUGUAAACUCCUGUCAUUUGGGAACAAUUGCCACCGGUUAACUGCCGGGGGUUUGAUAGUACCAGAAGAGGAAGAGACGGCUAACUCUGUGCCAGCAGCCGCGGUAAUACAGAGGUCUCAAGCGUUGUUCGGAUUCAUUGGGCGUAAAGGGUGCGUAGGUGGCGGGGUAAGUCUGGUGUGAAAUCUCGGAGCUCAACUCCGAAACUGCACUGGAUACUGCCUUGCUCGAGUACUGGAGAGGAGAUUGGAAUUUACGGUGUAGCAGUGAAAUGCGUAGAUAUCGUAAGGAAGACCAGUGGCGAAGGCGAAUCUCUGGACAGUUACUGACACUGAGGCACGAAGGCCAGGGGAGCAAACG
rnacentral:rRNA from 2 species